ACUCAAAUGAAUUGACGGGGGCCCGCACAAGCAGCGGAGCAUGGGGUUUAAUUCGACGCGACGCGAAGAACCUUACCUGGACUUGACAUGUCGGUGACCGCCGUGGAAACACGGUUUCCCUUCGGGGCACCGUCACAGGUGGUGCAUGGCUGUCGUCAGCUCGUGUCGUGAGAUGUUGGGUUAAGUCCCGCAACGAGCGCAACCCCCGUCGUAUGUUGCCAGCAUUUAGUUGGGGACUCAUACGAGACUGCCGGUGACAAACCGGAGGAAGGUGGGGAUGACGUCAAGUCAUCAUGCCCCUUAUGUCCAGGGCUACACCCGUGCUACAUUGGCGCGUACAAAAGGCAGCGAUACCGCGAGGUGGAGCGAAUCCUAUAAAACGCGUCUCGGUUCGGAUUGCAGGCUGAAACUCGCCUGCAUGAAGGUGGAGUUGCUAGUAAUCGUGGAUCAGCAUUGCCACGGUGAAUACGUUCCCGGGCCUUGCACACACCGCCCGU
rnacentral:rRNA from 1 species